CACGGCUCGACACCAAGACACAAGGCAAGAGCUUGAUCACACGCAUAUCUACCACAAGCAUAUAAAAAUCGUCAGGCCGGCGGGCAGCCAUGGACGCUGCUAAGGUCGCAGGGUGUUUCAAGGACAGGACCAUCCUCAUCACCGGCUCCACCGGCUUCCUGGGAAAACUGCUGGUGGAGAAGAUCCUGCGAGUUCAGCCGGGCGUGAAGAGGCUCUACCUGCUGGUGCGGGCGCCCGACGACGCGGCUGCCCACAAGCGUGUGCUCCAAGAGAUUGUAGGGAAAGAGCUGUUCAGCGUUCUGCGGGAGAAACACGGAGCUGCCUUCCAGUCCUUGGUCCAAGAGAAGGUAUCCCCUUUGGCCGGGGACAUGACACACGAGGGUCUUGGGCUUGAGAGCACCCGGGCCAAGCAAUUGGCUGAGGAGGUCGACAUCAUCGUCAACGGAGCUGCGAUCACUAAUUUCUACGAGAGGUAUGAUGUUGCCAUGGCAUCCAACACCUUCGGAGCCGUUCACGUAUGCAACUUCGCAAAGCAGUGCUCUAAUCUCAAGUUGCUCCUUCAUAUUUCCACCGCUUAUGUAGCCGGUAAUAAGCAGAAAGGCCGGAUACUGGAGAAACCGCUGCAGAUGGGUCGAGCGCUGGAGAAGGGUCGCCUCAUCGACAUUGAAGCUGAGCUCGAGUUAGCCAACGAGGUCAAAGAGAAACUUGUGACGGCGCGCUCCGGUGCUGAUGAUGCCUCUCAUCAGCAGCUACAAAAGGUAGCCAUGAAGGAACUCGGCUUGAAGAGGGCCAAGUACUUCGGGUGGCCCAAUGUCUACGCGUUCACCAAGGCUAUGGGAGAGAUGGUGAUUGGCGCUAGGAGAGGAGACCUCCCUGUUGUCAUAGUGCGACCAAGCAUUGUAAUAAGCACUUUUCAGGAUCCAUUUCCCGGAUGGAUAGAAGGAAUCAGGACAAUGGAUGUCACGAUUGCUGCUUGUUACGAGCAAAAGCUUCCAUGUUUCAUAGGCGGCCCCAUACUUGAUUCGAUACCCGGAGACAUGGUGGUCAAUGCUACUCUGGUAGCCAUGGCCACUCACUACGACCGCGCGGGAACUCAAGUAGUCUAUCAUGUGACCUCGGCACUCCAGAAUCCACUGUCGUGCAAUCUUCUAGAGGAAUCGACGUAUGCCUACUGCUUGAUGAAUCCUCGUGUGGGCACUGACAAUAGGACGGUCAAACAUAAAAGGCCUCUAGUGUUCAGCAGAUAUGCGUAUUUCCAUGCGUAUAUGGUUCUAGCAUAUCAGACACCACUCCAGGUGCUUUAUCUAGCGAAUUGUUUGUUACUCUGCGGGCGCUUCACGGAGCAUCACAACAAGCUCAACAGAAGCUUGAAUUACUUGAUGUUUAUGGCCAAGCUUUAUGCCCCAUAUGUCUUCUUCAAGGGAUGCUUUGAUGACACGAACCUGAGGAAGCUGUGGGGGACGACAGGUGCAGGGCAUGGUGAUGGAUACGCGUUUAACUUUGAUCCCAACUGCAUCAACUGGAGACUCUACUUGUUCAACACCCACAUCCCGGCUGUUCUCAAGGUGGCUGCCGAGAUGAAGAAGGAAGGCAGUGCAUGAUGUGCAUCUAUUGGUUUUUGCAUGGAGGAGGUCCUUGCUGCUAUCAUCAGGGGCUAUCAUGCAUACAUGUUGGACUAUAUAUAUGAUGGUUGUGGGUGCAAAUAAAACUCACGCAGAGACCAGUAGAACUAGCUAUUCAUUUAUGUAGACAAUAUGUAUUGCAACACCGACUCCAAAACCAGCUUCACCCGGAGCCCUGCCAAAUGGCGUGCUCCACGGCCGGUUCCGGCUCCAAGUCCCUAAAAUCCUGGUGACUGGAGCACUUCGGGCGAGGCGGAGCCACAAAAACGUGGCUCCGGCCGGCUCCGAGCAGCUCCUCGGCACCUUUUCCCAGCCCUGCCCUCGGGUGGGACUCGCCGGGGUGGCCGACGCUCGACGGGCGUGGACUGCGGGCGGCAACCGCGGCAGAGGAGGGCGGUCGGUGGGAGAUGGGCGGCGAGCAGGUGGGAGCUCGCGGCGGCGGCGGCGGCGGCCAUCCGCCUCCUCGCGGGCGGCGCUGGGCAUCUCCCUCCUCGCGCGCGGCGCCGGCCUCAACCAACGUCGCCACGCCGCCGCUCCUAGGCGGAGCUCCAGACAGCCUGCAGGCAGGAGCAGCAGCGGCGGAGCAGCUAGCAGGCAGAAGCAGCGGCGGCAGAGCAGCAGCUCGCAGGCAGGCGCAGCUCUGGCAGGCGCCGAGCAGCCCGCAGGCAGAGGCAACUGCAGCCGUGAGGAUGCCCCUUGAAUGGAUAAGGAGAGAGAAUGAGAGGGGAAAAGAAAAGAAAAGAAAUAGGAAGAAAAAUAAAGGAAAACAUAAAAAGAAAAAGCAAAAAGUAAAAAUAUAGGGAAGGGUAGUUUAGACAUUUUACAACUUCAAUCCAAUAAAUGAAGCCGUUUUGCCAAACGUUUUCUAAAAUGACUUCAACUCCACUAAAGAAGCCGCUCCACUAAAGAAAUCGGAGCUGGAACUCUGCCAAACAGGCUCUUAUUACCUCUCAAUCGAACCAUUUAUAUUAUAUAUUAUAUGUAUAGCAGAGCUAACCCCCCUGCUGGUCUGCAUCUGAGGUUGUGUUUAGAUCCGCAAAAAGUGGUAAAAAGGGUCACAUCGGAUACUGUAGCAUACUGUAGUAUUUUUCGUUUGUUUGUAAUAAAUAUUGUCCUAUCA